rnacentral:rRNA from 1 species
ACGAUGCCCCUUCGGGGACAAAGUUAGUGGCGAACGGGUGAGUAACGCGUGAGGAACCUGCCUUUCAGAGGGGACAACAGUUGGAAACGACUGCUAAUACCGCAUAAUGUACACGGACCGCAUGAUCUGUGUACCAAAGAUUUAUCGCUGAAAGAUGGCCUCGCGUCUGAUUAGAUAGUUGGUGAGGUAACGGCCCACCAAGUCUGCGAUCAGUAGCCGGACUGAGAGGUUGAACGGCCACAUUGGGACUGAGAUACGGCCCAGACUCC